rnacentral:rRNA from 1 species
UACGGGGGGGGCAAGCGUUGUUCGGAAUUACUGGGCGUAAAGGGCGCGUAGGCGGUUUGCUAAGUUGGAUGUGAAAACUCUGGGCUUAACCCAGAGCCUGCAUCCAAAACUGGCGAACUUGAGUACUGGAGGGGAAAGCGGAAUUCCUGGUGUAGCGGUGAAAUGCUUAGAUAUCAGGAGGAACACCGGUGGCGAAGGCGGCUUUCUGGACAGUAACUGACGCUGAGGCGCGAAAGCUAGGGGAGCAAACAGG